rnacentral:lncRNA from 1 species
CUAAGUAUGAGGGUUUCACAAGAAAACCCAUCUGUUACAAAAGCAUUUCAUUUUUAACUUAUUUUAACUCCAUACUUUUUGUGCAUUCACUGUGCACCAUUCUAAGCCACGUCUUCAAAUUUCAACCCUUUCUAACUUCAUUUGCUACUUUUCAUGCAUUUAAUAAAUUUUUUGAGCUAAAUGACCCUGAAAUUGAAAAUCAAUACAGAUAAACAUUAAAUUUUUUGAAACUUGGCAUGGUAUCAUCAUUUCGACCACAUAGCAUGUGAUAAAAAGUUGAGAAGAUUACAACAAAAAUUGGAUGCACUUCGUGUACAAACUGGAACAUCUCCUUUGAAGUAUGAAUGAUUGAGACGAAAACUCAUCUGUUACAAAGGCAUUUCACUUAUUGAACUUAUUUCAACUUUAGACUUUUUGUGCAUUCACUAUGCAUCAUUUUGAGCCACAUAUUCAAAUUUCAACCAUUUCUAACUUCAUUUGCUAGUUUUCAUGCAUUUAAUGAUUUUUCUGAGCUAAAUGACCCUGAAACUAAAAAGCAAUACAAGUGAACACUAAAAAGGUUGAAACCUGGCAUGGUAUCAUCAUUUCGACCAUAUAACAUGUGAUAAAAAGUCGAGAGGAUUACAGCAAAAACUGGAUGCACUUCGUGUACAAACUGGACCAUCUCCUUCGAAGUAUGAGGGUUUGAGACGAAAACUCAUUUGUUACAAAGAUAUUUUAUUCUUAAAACUUAUUUCAACUCGAGACUUUUUGUGUAUUCAAUAUGCACCAUUCUAAGCCACAUCUUCAAAUUUCAACGCUUUCUAAUUUCAUUUGCUACGUUUCAUGCAUUUAAUGGUUUUUUGAGCUAAAUGACCCUAACAUUAAAAAGCAAUACAAAUUAAUACUGGAAAGGUCAAAAGUUGGCACUUUAGUUGGUAGAAUUAGUUUUACUAUAUUAAAAAGUAAUUCUUUUUGCCACUUAAAUAGAACUAACUUUAGUUUCUGUUGUUUGUCAAUAAUUUUGUUUUUGUAAUUAGUUAAUAUUACUUUAUUUCUAUGUUAGUUGUUUCUAAUUUUAUAUUAAAAAAGGGUGUCCUAUUUGGAUUCCUCGCAUUUUUUUGAUAAUAAUGGAUAUAUUAUUUGUCGUAUUUCGAUUUAUAGAUUUAAAGAUAUUAAUUAUGCCAUAUUAAAUGAAUAAAUGACAAAACCAUGAACAAAAUAAUAUUAUUACUUAUUUGAUUUUAAUUGAAAUUCAAUAUUAUUAUUACUUAUUUUAUUUGAACUUUUUAGUUAUUUUGGAUUUUUUGUUUUUUAUGCUUUUUAAGAAUUAUUUGAGUUUUUUUUGAAUUUUCUUCCUUUUUUGAAGUUUUUAAAUUAAUUAUUGUUGUUCAUUAAACAUUGUUGUUUAUUUUAAUAAUUUUUUGGAAUUUAAAAAUUUAAAUCUUGUGAUAUCAAGACCUAAGGGUUAAUAGGAUUGAUAGCUUACUAUUAUCAAGAAAACAACAAGUGAAGACUUGGAAACUAGUGGAGAUAGAACCGGAAAGUUAAGCAUGCUUGGGCUGGAUUAGCGAGAGGAUGGGUGACAGGCCGGGAAGUUAGAUGAUUUAAAAUGAGUGGAGUGAGUGACUGGUUGGGAAGUUAGAGGAUUUGAAAUGA